rnacentral:rRNA from 1 species
UGCGCAGGCGGCGCUUUAAGUCAGAUGUGAAAUCCCCGGGCUUAACCUGGGGGGUGCAUCUGAUACUGGAGUGCUUGAGUGCAGGAGAGGAAAGUGGAGUUCCUAGUGUAGCGGUGAAAUGCGUAGAUAUUAGGAGGAACACCAGUGGCGAAGGCGACUUUCUGGACUGUAACUGACGCUGAGGCACGAAAGCGUGGGGAGCAAACAGGAUUAGAUACCCUGGUAGUCCACGCUGUAAACGAUGGAUACUAGGUGUAGGGAGCGAUAGCUCUCUGUGCCGCAGCUAACGCAAUAAGUAUCCCGCCUGGGGAGUACGAUCGCAAGGUUGAA